ACUACGGGAGGCAGCAGUGGGGAAUAUUGGGCAAUGGGCGCAAGCCUGACCCAGCAACGCCGCGUGAAGGAAGAAGGCUUUCGGGUUGUAAACUUCUUUUAAGAGGGAAGAGCAGAAGACGGUACCUCUUGAAUAAGCCACGUCUAACUACGUGCCAGCAGCAGAGGUCAUCCGUAGGUGACAAGCGUUGUCCGGAUUUACUGGGUGUAAAGGGCGUGCAGCAGUGAAGACAAGUCAGAUGUGAAAGCCCGCGGCUCAACCGCGGAACUGCAUUGGGAACUGUUUUUCUUGAGUACCGGAGAGGUCAUCGGAAUUCCUUGUGUAGCGGUGAAAUGCGUAGAUAUAAGGAAGAACACCAGUGGCGAAGGCGGAUGACUGGACGGCAACUGACGGUGAGGCUCGAAAGCAUGGGUAGCGAACAGGAUUAGAUACCCCUGUAGUC
rnacentral:rRNA from 1 species